rnacentral:rRNA from 1 species
UCAUACGGGCCCACCAACCUGAACACACCCAAUCUCGUCUGAUCUUGGAAGCUAAGCAGGAUCGGAUCUGGUUUGUACUUGGAUGAGAGAUGGGAAUAGUGCUGUGAGUGUGUGCGAA